rnacentral:lncRNA from 1 species
GAGUUGGGGGAGAGGACCAGAACCACCUGCUGGAGAAGGGGAGCUACGGGGGCCGGGCAGGGUCCAAACGCCUCACGUAGGCGGCGGCGCCACGGUCUUCGGGGUCACAGGGAAGAGAAGGGCUCUCCUCAAGCGGGUGGAAGGAGGGAGGCCUCCCGAGGGAGUGAGACUCUAGGCCACUCCCCCGCAGCAAGGCAGGAUCACCUGCGACGCGGAGAGCGGUUAGAGGGCCCUGGAGUGGAAAAGGGCAGUGGGACCUGGUAGCUUGGGUUCCCUGCAACUUGGGGUUCGACCUCCAGGCAAUGAAGUAGGGAUGGUCCUGCAAGUCAAGAUUCCAGUAGCAAGAGUGCAUCAGAUCUCUGUAAGGAAAAUAACUAACAUUGCUCAGUUCCCUGUAGAGUUGCAGGGCGCUUUAACGUUAUCUCCCUUGGUUCUCCAUCAGGUCGUAGUGGACUAAUUUUACAGGCGAAGUUAAGUGACUUACCCAAAACCUCACAGCUAAUAAACGGCAGAGCCGGCACCCAGCUGUACUGGCUUCCAAUUCUGUUAGCUUACCAGCGCAUCACAUUAUCUCCAUAAAUCCCCAUGAUUCAACUAAUAUUAGACGCCCCACAGGGCUGGAAGGAGUGUUGCUCAACAAUAUCCAAAACCACAGAGGUUGAAAAGCACAAGGAAAGAAGGUAUGUUUGCACUUUGUGAUUAGGUAGUAGGGUCUUUGAGACCACAUUGUUCUUAUUGAAAGCCUGGGAAGAAAGAUCCCCUUUCUGGUCAAGUUUAGUCUAGGGAUCCAUCCCAUCUUCCCCAGUUCCCACGUGUAUGGGACAUGUCGAGAUAAGUAGAUAGAUUGGACAGUGGGAGAAAGUAGUUCUCUUCCAGUUGCUUCUAUUUUCUCAGCAAAGUGAGGAGCAAGAUCAUUUUGGCAGACUGCUAAUUGUCCAUCACAAUUUAGUCUCCCUUUCUCCCUGAAAACACAGACUGCUUUUCUCAGCCUCUCUUUCAGUUGCAUAUGGUCAAGUAUUAAGUUAUAGAACGUGAGCAGAUGUUAUGUCUGCCACUGUCAGGCCAAGGCGUUUACUUUGAGAGUACUUGUGCCUCUUUCAUGCAUUUUCCUUUCUGCCAGCUGGACCCUGGACACGGUGACUCUGAUUCAAUUAUGCAGAUGACCACAAACCUCUGGGGUUGGCAGAGCCACAAGAAAGAAGGUGCCUGGAUGAAGGAGAGCUACCCACUGACCUGGACACCCAAUUAUAGGAUAGACAGUGAAGUGCAACUACAGCCCGCAAAUGAAAAUGAAUAAUAUUAAUCCAGCCCCUCAAGGCAGUCAUCUGUCUUAGAGCUAUUGGAAUCCUGGAUCAUUGUGGGAAAUGAAAGGAACUGGUUUUUAGCAAGGAGACCAAGAAACUCUACUCCCUAGGGGCUAGCAAUGAGAGAAAGGAAGCCUUAAGUCUUUGAGCACAGGGUGACAGUUUGGGUCCUAUGUGAGAUGAUCAAAUCCACAGCAACAGAGGAAAGGACAAAAGGAAAAGGUCUGUAGCAGCACUACAUCAGAAAAAAAUGGAUUCAGCAAGGAAGUGGGUGACUCUGAGUAAGCAUCCAUGUCAGGAUGGUUUUGCUACAGCCCCCAACAAAACAUUAAUUAGUUUAAGAAACUCAACUUCGGUUUACAAGUGUUUUGGAAAAGUAACAAAGAACAACAUAAGUAACAAAAUAAUUCCUCAGGUCAUUACAAUGGAUGUUUCCUAUAACUGAAAAAUAUGGUUAAAAAGUACAAACUACAUUUGGUGUGCAAACUGUUUAGUUCUUAAUUCCAAACUAAAUUGUACAUUAUAUAGUAAAAUUUUGACCAGAAAAACUUGGAGAUUUUAGUAAAAAUUUCAUUGACAUAUUUACAGCCCCAGUGUAGUUUGGCCGGUGUGCAAAGCCUGACUAAGGAGGUUAUAGAAAAAAAUAUCAGACUUAAGCCCAUCAAAUCAUUAAAGAUGCUUUGGCAAGACUUCAAGCUUUACAGACAUACUCCAUGUGACCAGAGAUGUCAUAACCAGUGUUCUUUCUCUUGAAAUGUUAGAAUGCUUUAGUUUUAUUCUAUAAUUUCCGUGUUCCAUGGAACAGCAUUCAUUUCUCCCAGUUUUAGUAACAUAAUGAGAGAUAUAUUGAGUGUAUAGAGCAGGAAAGACAUGAAAACUUAUAUUGCAUAAUAUUAGCAAACAUAAAAGAUAGCAUUAUAAAUUUUUAAAAAUCCAAAAAAAUUCCAGAAACAGAACAGUGAGCAUGUUUAAAAAGUCAGGACUGACCGUUUCUGUGAGUUCUGAGGACUGUAAAUGAGCCUCAAUCCAUAAAGCUGAGAGGUUGUCUUAGCCCACAUAUGCAGCAGGUGACUCCCUCUGACAAAAGCAAGAUUUAGCUGGAUCUUUUAAAAAAAAAA